UACAGAGGUCUCAAGCGUUGUUCGGAUUCAUUGGGCGUAAAGGGCUCGUAGGCGGCCAACUAAGUCGGAUGUGAAAUCCCCAGGCUUAACCUGGGAACUGCAUCCGAUACUGGAUGGCUUGAAUCCGGGAGAGGGAUGCAGAAUUCCAGGUGUAGCGGUGAAAUGCGUAGAUAUCUGGAGGAAUACCGGUGGCGAAGGCGGCAUCCUGGACCGGCAUUGACGCUGAUGAGCGAAAGCUAGGGGAGCAAACGGG
rnacentral:rRNA from 1 species